AUGCACCUGUAAAAGCCGGUGUCGUCUUGGAACUUAGAGACAUUCAUUGACACGUAGAGGAAUCUCACAGAUUUAAGAGAUGAUUCUUCCACCUACUCUAGAUUCUGUUCACCAGCAUCUCCAGAACAACCCCACUGAAUGUUCCCGUCUUAUCAAGUCAAUACUAUGGAUGUUGGUGAGCAGCUGCUUUGCCUUGCCAAGGAGGGCAAAACUUAAGAGAACAGGAUUAAAAUACUGGAAAGGAAGAAAACCAAAGGUUUGACCACAUACUCUGUGAGCAAGAUAGUGGAGAAACAAGACUUUCCCAUAUUGCUGGAUGUGAAACGUUCCUGCUCUGAGCUGAAUUUUGUGAUCGCUCUUGCACCACUGUGUUUAAACAAAUUCACAGAAUGUGAUGCUUAACUCCUACACUGAGGAAAGUCUUCUUGGACCUGAAUAUAUCCGGAGGAAUUAAACCCCUGGCCCAGAGAAUCUGUAAUAGAAAACAAGUCUUCCUGUGGAUUUGUGGCCCCAAUUCACUUCCUGGGUAAUCCAGGAAAGCUCA